rnacentral:rRNA from 1 species
UACGGAGGGGGCUAGCGUUGUUCGGAAUUACUGGGCGUAAGGCGCACGUAGGCGGAUCAGCCAGUCAGGGGUGAAAUCCCGGGGCUCAACCCCGGAACUGCCUUUGAUACUGCUGGUCUGGAGUUCGGGAGAGGCGAGUGGAAUUCCGAGUGUAGAGGUGAAAUUCGUAGAUAUUCGGAGGAACACCAGUGGCGAAGGCGGCUCGCUGGCCCGAGACUGACGCUGAGGUGCGAAAGCGUGGGGAGCAAACAGGG